UACGUAGGGGGGCAAGCGUUGUCCGGAUUUAUUGGGCGUAAAAGCGCUCGCAGGCGGCCCCGAUGCGUCGUGCGUGAAAACACCCCCGGCUCAACUGGGGGAGGGUCGUGCGAUACGGUCGGGCUUGAGGCCAGUAGGGGGGAUGCGGAAUUCCGGGUGUAGUGGUGGAAUGCGUAGAGAUCCGGAGGAACACCAGCGGCGAAGGCGGCAUCCUGGACUGGUACUGACGCUCAUGAGCGAAAAGCGUGGGGGAGCGAGUCCGG
rnacentral:rRNA from 1 species